UAAGGAAUAUUGGACAAUGGCCGCAAGGCUGAUCCAGCCAUGCCGCGUGCAGGAUGAAGGUGCUAUGCAUUGUAAACUGCUUUUGUUCGGGAAUAAACCCCUUCACGUGUGGAGGGCUGAAUGUACCGAAAGAAUAAGGGUCGGCUAACUUCGUGCCAGCAGCCGCGGUAAGACGAAGGACCCAAGCGUUAUCCGGAUUUAUUGGGUUUAAAGGGUGCGUAGGCGGGUUUUUAAGUCAGUGGUGAAAGCCUACAGCUUAACUGUAGAACUGCCAUUGAUACUGAAAAUCUUGAGUAUGGUUGAGGUGGGCGGAAUGUAUCAUGUAGCGGUGAAAUGCUUAGAUAUGAUACAGAACACCGAUUGCGAAGGCAGCUCACUAAGCCAUAACUGACGCUGAGGC
rnacentral:rRNA from 1 species